UUGAUUUUAUGCUUGCAUAAAUGAUUUUUGGAUUCGGAGCGAGUGGCGAACUGGUGAGUAACACGUGGGUAACCUGCCCCGAAGCGGGGGAUAACAUUUGGAAACAAGUGCUAAUACCGCAUAAUUAGUUGGAACCGCAUGGUUCCAACUUGAAAGAUGGCUCUGCUAUCACUUUGGGAUGGACCCGCGCCGUAUUAGUUAGUUGGUGAGAUAAAAGCCCACCAAGACGAUGAUACGUAGCCGACCUGAGAGGGUAAUCGGCCACAUUGGGACUGAGACACGGCCCAGACUCCUACGGGAGGCAGCAGUAGGGAAUCUUCCACAAUGGACGAAAGUCUGAUGGAGCAACGCCGCGUGAGUGAUGAAGGUUUUCGGAUCGUAAAACUCUGUUGUUAAAGAAGAACAAGUGUUAGAGUAACUGUUAACACUUUGACGGUAUUUAACCAGAAAGCCACGGCUAACUACGUGCCAGCAGCCGCGGUAAUACGUAGGUGGCAAGCGUUGUCCGGAUUUAUUGGGCGUAAAGCGAGCGCAGGCGGUUUUGUAAGUCUGCUGUGAAAGCCCUCAGCUCAACUGAGGAAGUGCAGUGGAAACUACAAAACUUGAGUACAGAAGAGGAAAGUGGAACUCCCAUGUGUAGCGGUGAAAUGCGUAGAUAUAUGGAAGAACACCAGUGGCGAAGGCGGCUUUCUGGUCUGUUACUGACGCUGAGGCUCGAAAGCAUGGGUAGCGAACAGGAUUAGAUACCCUGGUAGUCCAUGCCGUAAACGAUGAAUACUAGGUGUUGGAGGGUUUCCGCCCUUCAGUGCCGCAGCUAACGCAUUAAGUAUUCCGCCUGGGGAGUACGACCGCAAGGUUGAAACUCAAAGGAAUUGACGGGGGCCCGCACAAGUGGUGGAGCAUGUGGUUUAAUUCGAUGCUACGCGAAGAACCUUACCAGCUCUUGACAUCUUCUGCCAACCCAAGAGAUUGGGCGUUCCCUUCGGGGACAGAAUGACAGGUGGUGCAUGGUUGUCGUCAGCUCGUGUCGUGAGAUGUUGGGUUAAGUCCCGCAACGAGCGCAACCCUUAUUAUUAGUUGCCAGCAUUUAGUUGGGCACUCUAGUGAGACUGCCGGUGAUAAACCGGAGGAAGGUGGGGACGACGUCAAAUCAUCAUGCCCCUUAUGAGCUGGGCUACACACGUGCUACAAUGGAUGGUACAACGAGUCGCGAAACCGCGAGGUCAAGCUAAUCUCUUAAAGCCAUUCUCAGUUCGGAUUGCAGGCUGCAACUCGCCUGCAUGAAGUUGGAAUCACUAGUAAUCGUGGAUCAGCAUGCCACGGUGAAUACGUUCCCGGGCCUUGUACACACCGCCCGUC
rnacentral:rRNA from 2 species